UAGGGAAUAUUGCAAAAUGGGCGAAAGCCCGAUGCAGCAACGCCGCGUGGGCGAUGAAGGCCUUCGGGUCGUAAAGCCCUUUUUGAGGGGAUGAGGAAGGACAGUACCCUCAGAAUAAGCCUCGGCUAACUACGUGCCAGCAGCCGCGGUAAAACGUAGGAGGCGAGCGUUAUCCGGAUUUACUGGGCGUAAAGCGCGUGCAGGCGGAUUGGAGAGUUGGAUGUGAAAGCUCCCGGCUUAACUGGGAGAGGUCGUUCAAUACUUCCAGUCUUGAGUACAGUAGAGGGAAGUGGAAUUCCGGGUGUAGUGGUGAAAUGCGUAGAUAUCCGGAGGAACACCAGUGGCGAAAGCGGCUUCCUGAACUGUAACUGACGCUCAGACGCGAAAGCUAGGGUAGCAAACG
rnacentral:rRNA from 1 species